ensembl:snRNA predicted gene, 25309
GUGUUGUAUAAACCGUUGCUUAGCAUUUCCUUUGACAUGGAUGGAAAAGGCUCUUGGGCCUUACAAAAAAUGAUGAUUAAGGCAUUGCCAUUUACUUAUGGUAAUGUUUUGAGGAGUGC